rnacentral:rRNA from 1 species
GGAGGGUCCAAGCGUUGUCCGGAUUUAUUGGGGUGUAAAGGGUGUGUAGGCGGGCUUGCAAGUCAGAGGUGAAAGCCUACGGGCUCAACCGUAGAAUUGCCUUUGAUACUGCAGGUCUUGAGUCCCUGGAGAGGUUGCUGGAAUUCGUGGUGUAGCGGUGAAAUGCGUAGAUAUCACGAGGAACACCGGUUACGAAGGUGGGCAACUGGACAGGUACUGACGCUGAGGCACGAAAGCGUGGGGAGCAAACAGGAUUAGAUACCCUGGUAGUCCACGCCGUAAACGAUGAUCACUCGGUGUCGCGGAGUAAUCUGCGGUGCCUAAGCUAACGCAUUAAGUGAUCCACCUGGGGAGUACGAUCGCAAGGUUG